rnacentral:rRNA from 1 species
UGGGGAAUAUUGCACAAUGGGGGAAACCCUGAUGCAGCGACGCCGCGUGAACGAAGAAGGUAUUCGUAUCGUAAAGUUCUGUCCUAUGGGAAGAUAAUGACAGUACCAUAGAAGAAAGCUCCGGCUAAAUACGUGCCAGCAGCCGCGGUAAUACGUAUGGAGCGAGCGUUGUCCGGAAUUAUUGGGCGUAAAGGGUACGCAGGCGGUUUAAUAAGUCGAAUGUUAAAGAUCGGGGCUCAACCCCGUAAAGCAUUGGAAACUGAUAAACUUGAGUAGUGGAAAGGAAAGUGGAAUUCCUAGUGUAGUGGUGAAAUACGUAGAUAUUAGGAGGAAUACCAGUAGCGAAGGCGACUUUCUGGACACAAACUGACGCUGAGGUACGAAAGCGUGGGGAGCAAACAGG